ACGAACGCUGGCGGCGUGCCUAAUACAUGCAAGUUGAGCGCUGAAGGUUGGUACUUGUACCAACUGGAUGAGCAGCGAACGGGUGAGUAACGCGUGGGGAAUCUGCCUUUGAGCGGGGGACAACAUUUGGAAACGAAUGCUAAUACCGCAUAAAAACUUUAAACACAAGUUUUAAGUUUGAAAGAUGCAAUUGCAUCACUCAAAGAUGAUCCCGCGUUGUAUUAGCUAGUUGGUGAGGUAAAGGCUCACCAAGGCGAUGAUACAUAGCCGACCUGAGAGGGUGAUCGGCCACAUUGGGACUGAGACACGGCCCAAACUCCUACGGGAGGCAGCAGUAGGGAAUCUUCGGCAAUGGACGAAAGUCUGACCGAGCAACGCCGCGGGAGUGAAGAAGGUUGUCGGAUCGUAAAACUCUGUUGGUAGAGAAGAACGUUGGUGAGAGUGGAAAGCUCAUCAAGUGACGGUAACUACCCAGAAAGGGACGGCUAACUACGUG
rnacentral:rRNA from 1 species